UUUGAUGGAAAUAGUUUAAUUAGGUAGUAAAUUUAAUUGAAACUUAAAGAAUUUGGCGGCGUUUUAUUCUAUUCAGAGGAAUAUGUUUUUGAAGAUUGAUAAUCCACAAAUAUCUAACUUAGUUUAUUAGUUUUGUAUAUCUCCGUCAUAAGAAUAUUUUAUAAGAAGUUUUUCUUAAUAUACAUGUAUAAUAAAAUGUCAGGUCAAGGUGCAGAUUAUAGCUAAGUAAAAAUGUAUUACAUUAAAAUUGUUUUUGAAUUAAAUAUUGAAAUAUAUUUAUGAAAUUGGAUUUGUAAGUAAAAUUUUAUUAUUAUUAUUAUUUGAAAUAGUUUUAAAA
rnacentral:rRNA from 2 species